GCCUGGCUGGUUCAGUCAGUUAAGUGUCCGACUUUGGCUCAGAUCAUGAUCUCAUAGUUUGUGGGUUCGAGCCCCACGUCAGGCU
rnacentral:tRNA from 1 species